rnacentral:tRNA from 2 species
GCAGUCGUGGCCGAGUGGUUAAGGCGAUGAACUAGAAAUCCAUUGGGGUCUCCCCGCACACGUUCGAAUCCUGUCGACUGCG